UAAUAUCUAAAAGUGUGAAAAUCAGCGUAUUUACUAAUAUUAAAUAUUUCUGUGCCGAACUCGAAAGUUGUUUAAUAUCUUUUGGAAAACCAUAGCCCUCCCUAGCAAAUUUGUUGUGAGGAGAAAUUGCACAUUAUACAAUAAAUACUGCAGAAAAAAAAAACAUCUGAUACUGGAAACGGGUGUGACCACUGUUGUACGUUGGUAGUUGGGAAGGGG